CCCACCUGCCACUGGUCCAGCCAAUCAACCACAUGCUUCUCUAGCAUGUGCAUCUUUGGUAUGACGGUUGCUUGAGGAAAUUGCUCCCGAUAAAAUGUCAUAAAGGUGGAGAUGUGAGUACCUUUGGAGUAAAUUUACAUGGGUGACACAAAACUUCCGCUGGAUCUUCUCAGCACUCGUAACUAUGGACGGCUCAUAACUGCUUCUCAAUGUUCCUCACCUGUAGAGUGAUAUUCAAAUUUACGCGUGCGAAGCUUUCUCCUCAAAUUCUGAGCGGAGUGCUGUGAGUCGAGGAUCGUCUUCCUCCUCACCUCCUCACCUUCACCAAACACACAGAGCAAGGCCACCAGGUCAUUGAGUUGAGCCACUUCUUCGUUUACCCUAUACAUUUAUUUUAUUGCUUUAUGUGUUCCAUGUAAAUUUAAUCACCUGUCUAGCUCAUCCUUGAGGGCUCUCUCUCUCACAGAGUCACUCACAGAGGUACUCAUGAAGUUUGAGUAUGAAGGGCCACCCCUCUCGCGACUAUCUUCAAACCAUGAGACUGCAUUGUCAAGCACAUGACUCCAUCAAUUGGAAGAGCCGGUAAAAUAUCCCUAAACUGAUGUGCAGGGCAGGCAAACCUGCAUUUCCAUUUUGGAAUAAGGAUCCCUCUGGUGGUCUGUGACCAUACUGGCAGUGCUUCUGCUUUGAACAGUAGUGGGCAGGUUCCUUAGCUGUUCUGAUGUUGUCAAGCACCACAAGUGUCAAGCACCACAAGCAACAGUGCCAACCUAUUCAGAAUUUCACGUAAAGUAAGGCUGUCCACCUCAUCUUCGAACCUCUGUAGUGCGAUCUUCAGGUUGGUAACGUUGUCGGGAGCCUCAGAUAUUAACAGGGGAAUUAGGAUGCUUAUCUCCACCCAACUUGACCCAGAACUUGACCCAGAUCUCGUCAGCAGGUAUCUUCCCUUCAUGCCAAUGUGCCGGCCAUGCUUGACUGGAAAUGUGAAGGGAACAAGCUGACACUUAAGAUUAUCUAUUCCUAUGAGAGAGUUAGCUUCAGCCCGCAUCUUCUUCUCAGACGCAGAAGGAAAAAUUAAAAGAGCUUGUUCCUGGGAAUCAUGAGAACAGACUGGAUACCUAAACUUCGGCUGACUGAAAACGUAACCUGGAAGCAUCAACUUAUCCCGAUCUUCCUUCCCUGCAGUCUUGACCUCGUUGCUCACCUCCGCUCACUCUCUUCCUGAUGUCCUGCAGCUCACUACUGCGCCGUCUCAGGGUGGGGUGGUUUGGCUUGCAGUGCCGCUGGACACGCUAGAAUGCUGGAGUUGCGCAUGCUGCGCUUGAUGAGGACAGUUUUCAGUUUCUUCAAAUGGGGACAAGGACAGUUCUUCAGGUCUGCUGAGGGCUGCUGGUUUGAAGUGUGUGCAUGCACACUUGCUGUCAUGGUGGGCCUUGUGGUGUUUUAAGCACCCGUGUUUCCUGCACACACUGCACGUGACUCUCAAAAUGAGGAGGUUGUAUUGAGGAGGUUGUAUUGCUUCAAGAUCAUCAAGGUGUCCUGAUUGGCAACAAGGGCAUGAUGUCGUCUGAGACUCUUGUAGACACUGGCACAGACAAUCUGCACAGACAAGACUACCGCACGUCUUGAGUUCGAUAGAAGGAGCUAUCAGCUGGAUGGCUGACUGAAAUGAGCCUUUUGCCGGUCUGCCGUUGCCGGUCUGCCAGGAGGUCGUCGUGCCUGUCAGAGCAGACAUAUCUCCGACCUGAGGGACCUUUCUUGUUCUUAAAGAGAGAUCCACAAACCCUGCAGUGCCUGCAAAGUGCCUCAAGAUGUUCUUGACUCAUUCCUGAAGGUUGAUGCAAAUGAAUUGUCUGUUUUUGUUCAUUAUAUAUCAAUGUGCAUGUGUAAAUAUCGUAAAUUUGUGUCAUGUUUCAGACCUAUAUUGUUGCUGCCAAAAAAUUUUGUCCAAUACCUGUUGUUGUCGAAACUGUAGUAUGGAACUUCCUCUUUCAGUUGUUGCAAAUUCCACUUCAAAGAAACACUCUGGUAAGUCAGUGAGUAGCUAUCUUGUAGUUGAUACCUUUAACAGGUGCAGUGUUGUUUCUAGCUGCGCUGUUGUUAUGCGGGUGCACAUGACACUCAUAACUUUCAUGUGACUUCAAUGAAUAACAAACAAGUUGCUAUGGGUAUAAGUUUGCACAAAACAGGAUUGUUCAAAAACCACACCCACUUUUCAAUAUUUCGUUGAAUUGCAGUCCGUUCUAAUUACAAACUAAGUGGAGGUCUUCUGAAAAGGCUGCAAUGGCAUGGCAUUCAGCAUUAUUUUGCAAAUCCACGAAAGUAAACUAAACUCUUACUUGCACUUGAUUCAUCCACUUGAUUCAUCCUUGAGCAGCCUACACACACACAC